GAUGAACGCUGGCGGCGUGCCUAAUACAUGCAAGUCGAGCGAACAGACGAGGAGCUUGCUCCUCUGACGUUAGCGGCGGACGGGUGAGUAACACGUGGAUAACCUACCUAUAAGACUGGGAUAACUUCGGGAAACCGGAGCUAAUACCGGAUAAUAUAUUGAACCGCAUGGUUCAAUAGUGAAAGACGGUUUUGCUGUCACUUAUAGAUGGAUCCGCGCCGCAUUAGCUAGUUGGUAAGGUAACGGCUUACCAAGGCAACGAUGCGUAGCCGACCUGAGAGGGGGAGCGGCGACACUGGAGCUGAGACACGGUCCAGACUCCGACGGGAGGCAGCAGUAGGGAAUCUUCCGAAAUGGGCGAAAGCAUGACGGAGCAACGCCGCGGGAGAGAUGAAGGUCUUAGGAUCGUAAAACUCUGUUAUUAGGGAAGAACAAAUGGGUAAGUAACUAUGCACGUCUGGACGGUACCUAAUCAGAAAGACACGGCUAACUACGUG
rnacentral:rRNA from 1 species